rnacentral:rRNA from 1 species
GGGAGCGUGCAAGCAAGGGAUGGACGGACAGGGCAUGCAUGUCGUUAGUUAGCGUGGGUAGAGAGAGGGUGAAGUCAGUCAAGGAGCGAGAGCAACGUCGAUGGUUGGUGGCAUGUGUCGAGAGAGACUGGUUCUACAAGGAAGAAGAAGGGGAGGAUGACAAGAAGUCAGCACCGUCACUCCGUUGGGGGCGCCCCACAUGCAACAAUGGCGGGGACGGGUGGUCGCCAACCGAGGAGGAGGCGAUAAUAUCAAAAAAGAUGUUAUCAGAGAGGACAGGAGGCAGAAACCCGCCUCCAAGUAGUAGGAGUUAGUAGUAGCGAGUGAUCAGCACACGGCGGAGAAGUUGUUGGGUGGUGUAUGACCACGCCGGUCGUAACACCAAAGUAGUCGGCACCACAAGCAGCCGGGGUAAUAAGUUACUAGAGAGGCAGGCGUCGAGGGUGGGGUCGGUGAUUGGGGUGAAGUCGUAACAAGGUAUCAAUCCCGCGG